AAGGAUUCAUGACUCAAUCAACAAGUGAAAAGAUUAGAUUACAUUAAUUAACUGCCAAGGUGCUUACUUGUUAUAAGGAAAGCUCUGCCAAGUGCCAACUGCCAACUGCCAUAUAUAUUUCGGCUCCUCGGUUGAUGCUAAAGAGUAAAGGUUAGCAUUUGGUGGCUAGAUAUUUAUCAGAGGGGGUCACAGAUUUUAUGUACAAGGUGAUCAGUAACAUAUUGGCUUAUUGUAUUCUGAUACAUACUUGUGGGAUUCAACUGGAGAUUGCAGACGUAUGCUGUACAAACAAUAUUUAUUUUACAACGUACGUCGACCAGGAAUAAACUAAUAUAUUUAGUGGAGAAUAAAGGAUUCAUGACUCAAUCAACAAGUGAAAAGAUUAGAUUAUAUUACAUUAAUUAACUGCCAAGGUGCUUACUUGUUAUAAGGAAAGCUCUGCCAAGUGCCAACUGCCAACUGCCAUAUAUAUUUUGGCUCCUCGGUUGAUGCUAAAGAGUAAAGGUUAGCAUUUGGUGGCUAGAUAUUUAUCAGAGGGGGUCACAGAUUUUAUGUACAAGGUGAUCAGUAACAUAUUGGCUUAU